rnacentral:rRNA from 1 species
UACGGAGGAUGCAAGCGUUAUCCGGAAUGAUUGGGCGUAAAGCGUCCGCAGGUGGCUGUGUAAGUCUGCUGUUAAAGAGUGAGGCUCAACCUCAUAAAAGCAGUGGAACCUACACGGCUAGAGUGCGUUCGGGGCAGAGGGAAUUCCUGGUGUAGCGGUGAAAUGCGUAGAUAUCAGGAAGAACACCGGUGGCGAAAGCGGCUCUCUGGGACGGUACUGACGCUGAGACGCGAAAGCGUGGGGAGCGAACAGG